rnacentral:rRNA from 1 species
GAUGAACGCUGGCGGCGUGCCUAAUACAUGCAAGUCGAGCGAACGGACGAGAAGCUUGCUUCUCUGAUGUUAGCGGCGGACGGGUGAGUAACACGUGGAUAACCUACCUAUAAGACUGGGAUAACUUCGGGAAACCGGAGCUAAUACCGGAUAAUAUUUUGAACCGCAUGGUUCAAAAGUGAAAGACGGUCUUGCUGUCACUUAUAGAUGGAUCCGCGCUGCAUUAGCUAGUUGGUAAGGUAACGGCUUACCAAGGCAACGAUGCAUAGCCGACCUGAGAGGGUGAGCGGCCACACGGGAACUGCGACACGGUCCAGAAUCCUACGGGAGGAAGCAGUAGGGAAUAUUGCGCAAUGGGCGGAAGCAUGACAGAGCAACGCCGCGUGAGUGAUGAGGGUCUUCGGAUCGUAAAACUCUGUUAUUAGGGAAGAACAUAGGUGUAAGUAACUGUGCACAUCGUGACGGUACCUAAUCAGAAAGCCACGGCUAACUACGUG